AUGCUAUGUUGGGGACACUUUUGGAGCAAUCCUUUGAAUCUUUCCUAUGCUUCGUACAAGGAUUCACUUUAUUUUUGUUCAAAAGCACUAAUUUCUGCUUUGAGCCU